rnacentral:lncRNA from 1 species
AUGAUUUUCAACGGUCGCUUUGUCGCGUCCAGUGUAGACAGACUUCAACUGUCGCAUCCGGUGUGUCUGUCGAAGUACAGGUUUUGCACUAGACGAUAUUGUGCUGGUGGAAGAAACGCUAUUUUGGACCACAUCCCUGAGUUACCAGUUAUGCAUCAGAUACUGGUGGAAGUAGAUGCCUAAGAGACUGCUAAUGAUACCCCAUAACAAUAUACAUUCAUAUAGUAAGAAAUGAAAAUGGCUUAUAUGGCCAUGUACAAAUAAACAACCAAUUUUUGCUAGUAUUUUUUUUUUUUUUAGUAUGUACAAUAAUAAAAAUAUAUGUCCAUAGAGCUGGAAAAACGCCACAAAAUAUAUUGUCAUAAAUGACUUAAACCAAUCAUAUUACUACACACCAGCUAAUAAACUAGUCAGAUAUAUGACCAUCUGACCCUUUGAAUGGGACAUUGUCUGUUCUGUGGAAGUCACAUUUUAUCAGCCAUUAAUCAUGUCAUCUUUCAGACACAACACUAAAGGCUUGAGCAAAGCAAUGGAGGAAUAUGGGUUUUCAUGUUAGCAGGAGAGUUGUACAUUUUAAAAAAAGGAUUUGCCAUUAUGACAGACUGUAUUUAAUUAAUAAACACACUUCAAUUGUCUAAAAACAUGUUUAGCAUUUAUAAUAUUUUGCAUGUCAUUUAAAUGAGACCAUGCACCGAUUUUUUCAUUUCCCGAACAAUUCACUAGUUGGUCCCGGUCCCGUCGGUUGGGUUGGUAGUAGGUCCGGACCUACGUACGGACGAC